GUCAUCUAAAAAUGGUGUUUUCUCAAAAUACACCUUUUUGGCCUCUCAAUCGCAAUUCCAAACGGAGCCAGUGUGAGACUGCGUUGGCAUGUGCCAUGGUUGAGAUCAAACAUGCCGAGGCUUAUGGUGUUCAUGAAAAAAUUUGGAGGGCUUUUGAUUUUGAAUUACACCAUCUUGGAGUGGCCCAUUGACAGCUCCUGAGAUUACAUUAUUGUUAAACCAGUUCAUCUGAUAUAUGACCCUAAGGACAUUUAUGGUGGGGAAGGCAGCGAGUGAGUUAUUGAGUGGUCGCGAGGAAGAAGAAACAAAAU
rnacentral:misc_RNA from 1 species